GGGCGAAUGGUCUAGGGGUAUGAUACUCCCUUCGCAUAGAAUCUCAGGAUUCCGAGCAUGGGAGGGGUCCGGGGUUCAAUUCCCCGUUCGUCCA